rnacentral:rRNA from 1 species
UACGGAGGGGACUAGCGUUGUUCGGAAUUACUGGGCGUAAAGCGCACGUAGGCGGCUUUGUAAGUCAGGGGUGAAAUCCCGGGGCUCAACCUCGGAACUGCCUUUGAUACUGCGAAUCUCGAGUCCGGAAGAGGUGAGUGGAAUUCCUAGUGUAGAGGUGAAAUUCGUAGAUAUUGGGAAGAACACCGAUGGCGAAGGCAGCCAUCUGGACCGACACUGACGCUGAGGCGCGAAAGCGUGGGGAGCAAACAGG